rnacentral:tRNA from 1 species
GGUUGUGGCUCAGUGGUAGAGUGCUUGCCUAGCAUGUGUGAGGCUCUAAGUUUGAUCCCUGGUACCA